rnacentral:tRNA from 1 species
GCAAACAUAGUUUAAAGAAAAUUCUAGAUUGUGAUUCUGGAAAUAGAGGUUGAAACCCUCUUGUUCGCC